GAGUUUGAUCAUGGCUCAGAUUGAACGCUGGCGGUAGGCUUAACACAUGCAAGUCGUGCGAGAAAGUAUCUUCGGAUAUGAGUAGAGCGGCGGACGGGUGAGUAACGCGUAGGAAUCUACCUAGUAGAAGGGGAUAGCCCGGGGAAACCCGGAUUAAUACCGUAUACCUCCUUCGGGAGAAAGAAGGCCUCUCUUUGAAGCUUUCGCUACUAGAUGAGCCUGCGUAAGAUUAGCUUGUUGGUGAGGUAAAGGCUCACCAAGGCGACGAUCUUUAGCUGGUCUGAGAGGACGAUCAGCCACAUUGGGACUGAGACACGGCCCAGACUCCUACGGGAGGCAGCAGUGGGGAAUAUUGGACAAUGGGCGCAAGCCUGAUCCAGCCAUACCGCGUGUGUGAAGAAGGCCUUCGGGUUGUAAAGCACUUUAAGCAGGGAGAAAAAGUUAUAAGUUAAUACCUUAUAACCCUGAUGUUACCUGCAGAAUAAGCACCGGCUAAUUCCGUGCCAGCAGCCGCGGUAAUACGGAAGGUGCAAGCGUUAAUCGGAAUUACUGGGGCGUAAGCGCGCGUAGGUGGUUUGUAAGUUUGAUGUGAAAGCCCUGGGGCUCACCUAGGGACUGCAUCCAAACUAACUCACUAGAGUACGAUAGAGGGAGGUAGAAUUCAUAGUGUAGCGGUGGAAUGCGUAGAUAUAUGAAGAAUACCAGUGCGAAAGGCGGCCUCCUGGAUCUGUACUGACACUGAGGUGCGAAAGUGUGGGUAGCGAACAGGAUUAGAUACCCUGGUAGUCCACGCCGUAAACGAUGACAACUAGCUGUUGGGAGACUAUGUCUUUCAGUGGCGCAGCUAACGCUUUAGGUUGUCCGCCUGGGGAGUACGGCCGCAAGGUUAAAACUCAAAUGAAUUGACGGGGACCCGCACAAGUAGUGGAGCAUGUGGUUUAAUUCGAAGAUACGCGCAGAACCUUACCAACACUUGACAUGUUCGUCGCGACUCUAAGAGAUUAGAGUUUUCGGUUCGGCCGGACGAAACACAGGUGCUGCAUGGCUGUCGUCAGCUCGUGUCGUGAGAUGUUGGGUUAAGUCCCGCAACGAGCGCAACCCUCACUUUUAGUUGCCAUCAUUAAGUUGGGCACUCUGAAAGAACUGCCAGUGAUAAGCUGGAGGAAGGUGGGGAUGACGUCAAGUCCUCAUGGCCCUUACGUGUUGGGCUACACACGUGCUACAAUGGCAUCUACAACAGGAAGCAAAACGGCAACGUUAAGCAAAUCCCGAAAAGAUGCCUCAGUUCGGAUUGCACUCUGCAACUCGAGUGCAUGAAGCUGGAAUUACUAGUAAUCGUGGAUCAGCGUGCCACGGUGAAUGCGUUCCCGGGUCUUGUACACACCGCCCGUCACACCAUGGGAGUUGGUUCUACCUUAAGGCAAGGUUUUAAACCCUUGACCACGGUAUAGUCAGCGACUGGGGUGAAGUCGUAACAAGGUAACC
rnacentral:rRNA from 1 species